rnacentral:rRNA from 1 species
UACGGAGGGUGCGAGCGUUGUUCGGAAUCACUGGGCGUAAAGCGCGUGUAGGCGGUUUCUUAAGUCUGGUGUGAAAGCCCGGAGCUUACCUCCGGAAGGGCACUGGAGACUGGGAAACUUGAGUACCGGAGAGGAAGGCGGAAUUCCUGGUGUAGCGGUGAAAUGCGUAGAUAUCAGGAGGAACACCGGUGGCGAAGGCGGUCUUCUGGACGGAUACUGACGCUGAGACGCGAAAGCGUGGGGAGCAAAC